rnacentral:rRNA from 1 species
GCUUACGGCCAUACCACCCUGAACGCGCCCGAUCUCGUCUGAUCUCGGAAGCCAAGCAGGGUCGGGCCUGGUCAGUACUUGGAUGGGAGACCGCCUGGGAAUACCAGGUGCUGUAAGCU